rnacentral:rRNA from 1 species
AGCGAACGCUGGCGGCAGGCCUAACACAUGCAAGUCGAACGAACCUUUCGGGGUUAGUGGCGGACGGGUGAGUAACACGUGGGAACGUGCCUUUAGGUUCGGAAUAACUCAGGGAAACUUGUGCUAAUACCGAAUGUGCCCUUCGGGGGAAAGAUUAAUCGCCUUUAGAGCGGCCCGUGUCUGAUUAGCUAGUUGGUUGAGGUAAUGGCUCACCAAGGCGACGAUCAGUAGCUGGUCUGAGAGGAUGAUCAGCCACAUUGGGACUGAGACACGGCCCAAACUCCUACGGGAGGCAGCAGUGGGGAAUCUUGCGCAAUGGGCGAAAGCCUGACGCAGCCAUGACGCGUGAAUGAUGAAGGUCUUAGGAUUGUAAAAUUCUUUCAACGGGGACGAUAAUGACGGUACCCGGAGAAGAAGCCCCGGCUAACUUCGUG